rnacentral:rRNA from 1 species
AUACGGAGGAUGUGAGCGUUAUCCGGAUUUAUUGGGUUUAAAGGGUGCGCAGGCGGGCGAUUAAGUCAGCGGUGAAAGGCUCGGGCUCAACCGGAGCAGUGCCGUUGAUACUGGUUGUCUUGAAUGCGGUCAAGGCCGGCGGAAUGUGGCGUGUAGCGGUGAAAUGCAUAGAUAUGCCACAGAACACCGAUAGCGAAGGCAGCUGGCCGGGCCUGCAUUGACGCUGAGGCACGAAAGCGUGGGGAUCGAACAGGAUUAGAUACCCUGGUAGUCCACGCUGUAAACGAUGGACACUCGUUGUCGGCGACAGACAGUCGGCGGCCAAGCGAAAGUGAUAAGUGUCCCACCUAGGGAGUACGGUCGCAAGGCUGAAACUCAAAUGAAUUGGCGGGG